rnacentral:rRNA from 1 species
UACGAAGGGGGCUAGCGUUGCUCGGAAUCACUGGGCGUAAAGCGCACGUAGGCGGACUCUUAAGUCAGGGGUGAAAUCCUGGAGCUCAACUCCAGAACUGCCUUUGAUACUGGGAGUCUUGAGUUCGGGAGAGGUGAGUGGAACUGCGAGUGUAGAGGUGAAAUUCGUAGAUAUUCGCAAGAACACCAGUGGCGAAGGCGACUCACUGGCCCGAUACUGACGCUGAGGUGCGAAAGCGUGGGGAGCAAACAGG